rnacentral:rRNA from 1 species
CGGCGGACGGGUGAGUAACGCGUGGGUAACCUGCCUCAUACAGGGGGAUAACAGUUGGAAACGGCUGCUAAUACCGCAUAAGUGCACAGUACCGCAUGGUACGGUGUGAAAAACUCCGGUGGUAUGAGAUGGACCCGCGUCUGAUUAGGUAGUUGGUGGGGUAACGGCCUACCAAGCCGACGAUCAGUAGCCGACCUGAGAGGGUGACCGGCCACAUUGGGACUGAGACACGGCCCAA